rnacentral:rRNA from 1 species
CGGGAACAGCUCAAAUUUUAAAUCGGACUUUGUUCGAGUUGUAAUUUGCAGAGGGUGCUUUGGUGGUAGUUGCGGUCUAAGUUCUUUGGAACAGGACGUCACAGAGGGUGAGAAUCCCGUAUGUGGUCGCUACUUAUCACCGUGUAAAGCCCCUUCGAC